GUCACGUACUAGAAAAAAGGAAGAAGAUUAAGCUUGAGGGGGAAGAGGCUGGAAGUCUGUGUCCCAGGGUAUGAUCCCUCUGUCUGGAAUGACUCAACAGGAAAACAUCUCUACUCAGGGCUCCACAUCAGCAGCCCCCCUUUGACAUUCCCGGGUGAUUUCUGAGAGGUUGUGUGUGUGUGUUAGUGUUUACAGAAGAAGCGCUCUGGAAAAAGAAUCACCUCUCCAUUGCUGUCAUCCAUCAACACUAAGCUAAACACACACACGCACACCAAUCUAGACACACUAACCUAGAGACAACCAGCUAAAUGAAGCAAUUCAGCAAAGCUGGACUGUAAAAUAACAAUGUUUGACAGUAAAUCAGAACAUAUCCGGACGUUGACACAUCAACCAAAGCUACACACAUUUCUCCACUAUCUCAUUGCCUUUCCAUAUGCUUCCCCUCUUUUCCCUCACUGUUGAUCCUGGGGUUUUAGGAGUCGCUUAAUAAUGGAAAAAAAGCCAGAGAAUAUUUUCCAGCUCUCAAAACCCUAGAGCCCUCAGUGAUUUUAUGGAGUGAGUCAGGCUGUCUGCUGAAAAGAGAGAGAGAGGGGGCAUGAAUAAAGAAAAAAUGGUACGAAAAGUCAAUUGUCUUUAUACAGUAGGAGAAAACAUGAAGAACUGUUGUUUCAUUCUCUCCCUUGCUCACUUAAUCAAUUGUUUCUGACUGUCUCGUUUCCAUUGAAGUUAAAUGUUCUCUCUGUGUUUUUUUCUCUCUCUCUCUCUUUCUAGCUGGACGUUCUCCAUGGAUUUCUUGGCUCCUGUGGUUCUCAAACCUAAGGACUGAAAGAGAGAGAGAGAGGUUAAGACGUAUACAGAACAGAAGAACAACUGAGGCCACAAUCCAGAGGAAUCUGUUCAAACGGCUCAAAACUGACCUGCUCCUCAUCUGAGCUGUGAUUUACACCGCUGUUGUGUCCGUGUCUCUGAGUGAGAGGACUGACAGUGACCAUUACUGAACCCUAAACGAGCACACACUGUCCCACCGCACCGCAGCCCCAGCGGAGAGAAGCCAGCUGAUUACAGGUUUGCACUGCAAGG
ensembl:lncRNA